CCUAGCUCUCACGAGCCAAGCUUCUUUAUGGCGUACCUUCGGUACU
rnacentral:sRNA from 1 species